GUGGGGAAUAUUCCGCAAUGGACGAAAGUCUGACGGAGCAACGCCGCGUGAGUGAUGAAGGUUUUCGGACUGUAAAGCUCUGUUGUUUAGGACGAAAGUGCCUGUUGCGAAUAGUUACAGGUAUUGACGGUACUGAACGAGGAAGCCACGGCUAACUACGUGCCAGCAGCCGCGGUAAUACGUAGGUGGCAAGCGUUGUCCGGAAUUAUUGGGCGUAAAGAGCAUGUAGGCGGGAAUCUAAGUCUGUUGUGAAAAUGCGGGGCUCAACCCCGUAUUGCGAUGGAAACUGGGUUUCUUGAGUGCAGGAGAGGAAAGGGGAAUUCCCAGUGUAGCGGUGAAAUGCGUAGAUAUUGGGAGGAACACCAGUGGCGAAGGCGCCUUUCUGGACUGUGUCUGACGCUGAGAUGCGAAAGCCAGGGUAGCGAACGGGAUUAGAAACCCUAGUAGUCC
rnacentral:rRNA from 1 species